rnacentral:rRNA from 1 species
ACGGGUGAGUAACGCGUGGAUAACCUGCCGUAUACAGGGGGAUAACACUUAGAAAUAGGUGCCAAUACCGCAUAAGCGCACGGUUCCGCAUGGAACAGCGUGAAAAACUCCGGUGGUAUACGAUGGAUCCGCGUCUGAUUAGCCAGUUGGCGGGGUAACGGCCCACCAAAGCGACGAUCAGUAGCCGGCCUGAGAGGGUGAACGGCCACAUUGGGACUGAGACACGGCCCAAACUCCUACGGGAGGCAGCAGUGGGGAAUAUUGCACAAUGGGGGAAACCCUGAUGCAGCGACGCCGCGUGAGUGAAGAAGUAUCUCGGUACGUAAAGCUCUAUCAGCAGGGAAGAAAAUGACGGUACCUGAUUAAGAAGCCCCGGCUAACUACGUGCCAGCAGCCGCGGUAAUACGUAGGGGGCAAGCGUUAUCCGGAUUUACUGGGUGUAAAGGGAGCGUAGACGGCAGCGCAAGUCUGGAGUGAAAUGCCGGGGCCCAACCCCGGAACUGCUUUGGAAACUGUGCAGCUCGAGUGCAGGAGAGGUAAGCGGAAUUCCUAGUGUAGCGGUGAAAUGCGUAGAUAUUAGGAGGAACACCAGUGGCGAAGGCGGCUUACUGGACUGUAACUGACGUUGAGGCUCGAAAGCGUGGGGAGCAAACAGGAUUAGAUACCCUGGUAGCCCACGCCGUAAACGAUGAUUACUAGGUGUCGGGGGGCCAAGGCCCUCCGGUGCCGGCGCAAACG